rnacentral:rRNA from 1 species
AGUGAACGCUGGCGGUAGGCCUAACACAUGCAAGUCGAACGGCAGCACAGUAAGAGCUUGCUCUUACGGGUGGCGAGUGGCGGACGGGUGAGGAAUACAUCGGAAUCUACUUUUUCGUGGGGGAUAACGUAGGGAAACUUACGCUAAUACCGCAUACGACCUACGGGUGAAAGCAGGGGAUCUUCGGACCUUGCGCGAUUGAAUGAGCCGAUGUCGGAUUAGCUAGUUGGCGGGGUAAAGGCCCACCAAGGCGACGAUCCGUAGCUGGUCUGAGAGGAUGAUCAGCCACACUGGAACUGAGACACGGCCCAGACUCCUACGGGAGGCAGCAGUCGGGAAUAUUGGACAAUGGGCGCAAGCCUGAUCCAGCCAUACCGCGUGGGUGAAGAAGGCCUUCGGGUUGUAAAGCCCUUUUGUUGGGAAAGAAAAGCAGCAGGUUAAUACCCCGCUGUUCUGACGGUACCCAAAGAAUAAGCACCGGCUAACUUCGUG